rnacentral:hammerhead_ribozyme from 1 species
AUUCAGAUGACGAGUCCAAGGUAGGGCGAAAUGCACAUCCUGGAU